AGCGGCCUGAGAGGGUGACCGGCCACACUGGGACUGAGACACGGCCCAGACUCCUACGGGAGGCAGCAGUGGGGAAUAUUGCACAAUGGGCGCAAGCCUGAUGCAGCGACGCCGCGUGAGGGAUGAGGCCUUCGGGUUGUAAACCUCUUBCAGUAGGGAAGAAGCGAAAGUGACGGUACCUGCAGAAGAAGCACCGGCUAACUACGUGCCAGCAGCCGCGGUAAUACGUAGGGUGCGAGCGUUAUCCGGAAUUAUUGGGCGUAAAGAGCUCGUAGGCGGUUUGUCGCGUCUUCGUGAAAGUCCGGGGCUUAACCCCGGAUCUGCGGUGGGUACGGGCAGACUAGAGUGCAGUAGGGGAGACUGGAAUUCCUGGUGUAGCGGUGGAAUGCGCAGAUAUCAGGAGGAACACCGAUGGCGAAGGCAGGUCUCUGGGCUGUAACUGACGCUGAGGAGCGAAAGCAUGGGAGCGAACAGGAUUAGAUACCCUGGUAGUCCAUGCCGUAAACGUUGGGCACUAGGUGUGGGGACCAUUCCACGGUUUCCGCGCCGCAGCUAACGCAUUAAGUGCCCCGCCUGGGGAGUACGGCCGCAAGSUAAAACUCAAAGGAAUUGACGGGGCCCGCACAAGCGGCGGACAUGCGGAUUAAUUCGAUGCAACGCGAAGAACCUUACCAAGGCUUGANAUGUUCUCGAUCGCCGUAGAGAUACGUUUCCCCUUUGGGGCGGGUUCACAGGUGGUGCAUGGUUGUCGUCAGCUCGUGUCGUGAGAUGUUGGGUUAAGUCCCGCAACGAGCGCAACCCUCGUUCCAUGUUGCCAGCACGUCGUGGUGGGGACUCAUGGGAGCUGCCGGGGUCAACUCGGAGGAAGGUGAGGACGACGUCAAAUCAUCAUGCCCCUUAUGUCUUGGGCUUCACGCAUGCUACAAGGCCGGUACAAUGGGUUGCGAUACUGUGAGGUGGAGCUAAUCCCAAAAAGCCGGUCUCAGUUCGGAUUGGGGUCUCA
rnacentral:rRNA from 1 species